rnacentral:rRNA from 1 species
UACGUAGGGAGCAAGCGUUGUCCGGAAUCAUUGGGCGUAAAGCGCGCGUAGGCGGCCCUGUAAGUCCGCUGUGAAAGUCAAAGGCUCAACCUUUGAAAGCCGGUGGAUACUGCAGGGCUAGAGUCCGGAAGAGGCGAGUGGAAUUCCGGGUGUAGCGGUGAAAUGCGUAGAUAUUACCAAGAACACCAAUGGCGAAGGCAGCUUGCUGGGCUACUCCUGACACUGAGGUACGAAAGCGUGGGGAGCGAACAGG